UACGUAGGGUGCAAGCGUUGUCCGGAAUUAUUGGGCGUAAAGAGCUCGUAGGCGGUUCGUCGCGUCGGCUGUGAAAACCCGGAGCUCAACUCCGGGCCUGCAGUCGAUACGGGCGGACUUGAGUGUUGCAGGGGAGACUGGAAUUCCUGGUGUAGCGGUGAAAUGCGCAGAUAUCAGGAGGAACACCGGUGGCGAAGGCGGAUCUCUGGGCCGAUACUGACGCUGAGGAGCGAAAGCGUGGGGAGCGAACAGG
rnacentral:rRNA from 1 species